GACGAACGCUGGCGGCGUGCUUAACACAUGCAAGUCGAGCGGUAAGGCCCUUUUCGGGGGUACACGAGCGGCGAACGGGUGAGUAACACGUGGGUGACCUGCCCUUAGCUCUGGGAUAAGCCUGGGAAACUGGGUCUAAUACCGGAUAUGACUCCAUGACGCAUGUUGUGGGGUGGAAAGCCUUGUGCGGCUAGGGAUGGGCCCGCGGCCUAUCAGCUUGUUGGUGGGGUGAUGGCCACCAAGGCGACGACGGGUAGCCGGCCUGAGAGGGCGACCGGCCACACUGGGACUGAGACACGGCCCAGACUCCUACGGGAGGCAGCAGUGGGGAAUAUUGCGCAAUGGGCGAAAGCCUGACGCAGCGACGCCGCGUGAGGGAUGAAGGCCUC
rnacentral:rRNA from 1 species